rnacentral:rRNA from 1 species
UACGUAGGGGGCAAGCGUUGUCCGGAUUUACUGGGCGUAAAGAGCGUGUAGGCGGCCACGCAGGUCCGUUGUGAAAACUGGAGGCUCAACCUCCAGCUGUCGACGGAAACCGUAUGGCUAGAGUCCGGAAGAGGAGAGUGGAAUUCCUGGUGUAGCGGUGAAAUGCGCAGAUAUCAGGAAGAACACCAAUGGCGAAGGCAGCUCACUGGGACGGUAUUGACGCUGAGACGCGAAAGCGUGGGGAGCAAACAGG